rnacentral:rRNA from 1 species
ACACGGGGGGUGCAAGCGUUAAUCGGAAUUACUGGGCGUAAAGCGCGCGUAGGCGGUUUGCUCAGUCGGAUGUGAAAGCCCAGGGCUCAACCUUGGAACUGCAUACGAUACUGGCAAACUAGAGUGUGAGAGAGGAUAGUGGAAUUUCCGGUGUAGCGGUGAAAUGCGUAGAUAUCGGAAGGAACAUCAGUGGCGAAGGCGACUGUCUGGCUCAACACUGACGCUGAGGUGCGAAAGCGUGGGUAGCAAACAGGAUUAGAAACCCUAGUAGUCC